UACGUAGGGAGCAAGCGUUGUUCGGAUUUACUGGGCGUAAAGGGCGCGUAGGCGGCAUAUUAAGUCACCUGUGAAAUCUCCGAGCUUAACUCGGAACUGUCAGCUGAUACUGAUGUGCUAGAGUGCGGAAGGGGCAAUCGGAAUUCUUGGUGUAGCGGUGAAAUGCGUAGAUAUCAAGAGGAACACCUGAGGUGAAGACGGGUUGCUGGGCCGACACUGACGCUGAGUGCGCGAAAGCCAGGGGAGCAAACGGG
rnacentral:rRNA from 1 species